rnacentral:miRNA from 1 species
AUACUCUCUCUACAGGCUACUUAC